UACGGAGGGUGCAAGCGUUAUCCGGAUUCACUGGGUUUAAAGGGUGCGUAGGUGGGCAAGUAAGUCAGUGGUGAAAUCUCCGGGCUUAACCCGGAAACUGCCAUUGAUACUAUUUGUCUUGAAUACUGUGGAGGUCAGCGGAAUAUGUCAUGUAGCGGUGAAAUGCUUAGAUAUGACGCAGAACACCCAUGGCGAAGGCAGCUCGCUACGCCGGCAUUGACACUGAGGCACGAAAGCGUGGGGAUCAAACAGG
rnacentral:rRNA from 1 species